rnacentral:rRNA from 1 species
CAGUAGCCGCGGUAAUACGAAGGGUGCAAGCGUUACUCGGAAUUACUGGGCGUAAAGCGUGCGCAGGCGGUUAUAUAAGACAGUUGUGAAAUCCCCGGGCUCAACCUGGGAACUGCAUCUGUGACUGUAUAGCUAGAGUACGGUAGAGGGGGAUGGAAUUCCGCGUGUAGCAGUGAAAUGCGUAGAUAUGCGGAGGAACACCGAUGGCGAAGGCAAUCCCCUGGACCUGUACUGACGCUCAUGCACGAAAGCGUGGGGAGCAAACAGGAUUAGAUACCCCCGUAGUCCCUGUCUCUUAUAC